CCUACGGGGGGCAGCAGUGAGGAAUAUUGGUCAAUGGACGAGAGUCUGAACCAGCCAAGUCGCGUGAAGGAUGACUGCCCUAUGGGUUGUAAACUUCUUUUAUAAAGGAAUAAAACGAGGCACGUGUGCCUUUUUGCGUGUACUUUAUGAAUAAGGAUCGGCUAACUCCGUGCCAGCAGCCGCGGUAAUACGGAGGAUCCGAGCGUUAUCCGGAUUUAUUGGGUUUAAAGGGAGCGUAGAUGGGUUGUUAAGUCAGUUGUGAAAGUUUGCGGCUCAACCGUAAAAUUGCAAUUGAUACUGGCAGUCUUGAGUACAGGUGAGGUAAGCGGAAUUCGUGGUGUAGCGGUGAAAUGCUUAGAUAUCGCGCAGAACCCCGAUUGCGAAGGCAGCUUACUAAACUGGGACUGACAUUGAUGCACGAAAGUGUGGGUAUCGAACAGGAUUAGAUACCCCUGUAGUC
rnacentral:rRNA from 1 species